CCACCCUGGGAGCAUUUAACGCAAGGUUGGUGGGGAUCAGCUGAUAUUUACGCGUCCUGGACACUGUUCCUCUUCCUCAUCCUCUUUCCGUUCCCCACUCCUAUCCUCUCAGAUCUAAACUGCCAAUACAUCCGCUCGCUCCCUGUACCGGCCGGCACCGGCGCCCGUCGACAUGUCUGCCUCGUCCUCGACCUCACAGUCCCUCGCACCCAUCCUCCAAGAGCAGCCUCCUCUUCCUCUCAUCCGUUGCCCCUGGUGCCACAACGGCGACAUCGAGUGGUGGGUUUCCCGGACUCCCAAGAACCCCGGGAAACACUUCUACAAGUGCGAGCGUCACUGGCAGCAGAAGUACGCAACGCUAGCCGCUGGGGCAGUGAUUGCUUGUGGCGGCGAGAAGCGAGCAGCAGCUGCAGUACGCGGAGCUGGGGCAGGGGCAGCCCGUGUCGGCGAGCAGCGGCAGCCCGUGGCGUCAGCGAGCAGCAAGAAAUAGGUGGCACAGACGAGAUGGGGAGCAGUAAAUCCAUGCUGCCAACUCUCAAGGUCCUCCUCAUCCUGGGGAUCCUCAAUCUAGCGCCGUUCUGUAUCUCUUCCUGAGGCUCAACUGAACUUGUAAAUAAGAUCUCUGUAGCUAGCCUAAUUCUUUUUUCUUUUUUGCGGAAAAUCACCUGGUUAAUUGUUACCUGCCCUUCGAUCCAGGAAGUUCAUGUGAAAAUAAAAAGUUCCAGGAAGUUCAGAUUUAUAUGUAGCUUCUCUAUCUUCCAAGAUGUAACCAGGAUAUUAAGUUCCAGGAAGUUUACUUAAUAUCCUGGAAGACAGAGAUGCUGGUUUAAGUUUCAGGAGAUAUGGAUUUUUGACUAAGUUGAAUUUAA